AGAUCCGUCAGUAAUCCAUGAGUGACGAGAGCGAAGCUUGAAGCUUCUAGACUCCAUGAGCUGGCAGGGGCUUAACGGAAAAUGUUCCCGAAACCCAUCGCCGGAGCUCGCCGUCGGUUUUCAAGGACUCCGGUCAAGGGUCAUUUCGUGAGCCAGCCUUUGCUCGUUCGGAGGUCUUUCCGCAGCUGAGUAAAAUGCCCAGCUUGUCGUCCUCCACUCUCGCCGAACGAGACCUCGACUCGCCUGAAAAACCAGGACGCGACCUCCCAGUCGCUCUGUGCCCUCCCUCUUUCCGACCGGCGAACCACCGCACGGGACCGGCGAGAGGACCGCGACCUCCCUCUCUCUCUGCAUUCCCUCUUUCCGACCGACGAACCACCGCACGGGCGAGAGGACCGCGAGCAAUCGACGGACCACUGCACGGGACUGGCGAGAGGACCGCGACCUCCUCUCUCUCUGCCCUCCCUCUUUCCGACCGGCGAACCACCGCGAGAAAAUCAGAUGUUUUUGUAGAGAUCUCCCAUCGUCGCCUUCAUCUUCUUCCCCCUUUUUUUUUGUUUUGUUGUUUUUUUUUUUCCCUAGUGUUCUAAUGGUGGAUCUGGAGUUGCAUAUGAAGGACGACGUGAUGUCUCACAUCAACCUCGACGGCUUCUUCGGCGACCUCCCUGAGACCGGCGACGUCAUCGGCGCUUACUCCUCGACGAUCGCGUCGUCGUCGUCUCCAGACUCGGGGCUCUCGUGGUUCGACGAGAUCGAGAACAUUCUGAUGAAGGACGACGAUGUCCACGUGCUUGCUGAGCCGGGGGCUGAGCGGGCCGUGCCGGAGGGACUCGAGCUUCCAGCGGACCUUCGCUUCCCCGGCCCCUCGCCGCCGGCUUCUCCCCACCUCCUGCAAGAUGCGGCAGCGCGGCCUUAGUUCUGGGAGCAGGAGGCCGCUGGUCAAGAAGGCUUCGCUGGAUAGGCUGCCGUCGAUUGUGGUUAAUGGAGAGGGCGAAGAGGACGCUGCUUUGGCGGAGAGCGUGCGUAGCGCUGAUUGGGAAAUUGUGGCUGAUGAUUCUGAGGACGAUGAUUCCGAUGGAGUCGUGAUUGAUGUGGAGAACCAGAAUGCUGAUAGAACAGAAGCUUCCGAUGGUACAGCGAUGGAGACAAAUUUGCACCAUGUUUCGUCAAUGGAGUAACUCUCACCACAGUGAGGAAGAUGACUCGCUGCAGUUUGAAUCUAAGAUCAUGGGCAUUGGAGGCAAAUGACAUGAAUUGUUUCAACAUCCAAUUUCAGCUGGAUUUAGUCUUUGGAGAUUUACUAAAAGAAAGAGGCAGGUUGCUUUCAACAUCCUCACCCCUGGAGGAUUUGUCCACUCGAGGAUCCAAGUAAUAAACCAAAGCUUGCAUAUCUUUCAAAGAUUUUGAUUGCACUUUUAAGCUAUGGCGGGUCCCUAAUGAACUUCUUUUGGACAUGGUGGAGAAUGCUCUGGGAGAUGCAAAUAGUGUCUUCUCUAGUAAACGAGCAGCUCCAAGAGGUAGUAUUCUUCUGAACUUUUGGACUGUUGAUGCAUAAGUAAAAAAAUGCAUCUCUAUUCAUCUUUGCUGGUUUUACUUCCGUUGGGUGCGUAUUUCCUUCAAUUGCUAUUUGAUGUGUAAACAUUUUCCCUUGUGUUUUCCUUUUGUUCUU